GAGCCCUACGAGAUCCCUGCUGCCAUGAUCGCUGAAUCCGAGAAGAGGUCGUAUGUGCUCAAGAUAGACGGAUACUCAAUGGCCAACGCGCUGCUCAAGAACGGGGAGUGCAUGACUUCCGCCCCAUUCAGCGUUGGAGGCCACAACUGGGUCGUGAGAUAUUACCCCAACGGCUAUCCUAAGCACUGUGACAAUUAUAUCUCUCUCUAUGUGCAGCUUGAAGCUGCCGAUGCCGAGGACGUGAAGGCCAAGGCCAAAUUGAAGCUCAGCGUGCUCGACAAGAAUGGAAAUCCGGUGCCUUCGUACAGCCGUACCAUCCCUCUACACACCUUCUCAAGGAGGGCUCCAGACCGUGGCUACCAUGACUUCAUCCACAAGGCUGGCCUUGAGGUAUCGCCGCACCUUAGAGACGAUUGUCUCACCAUCAGGUGUGAUGUCACCGUCGUCAAGGACAUCGACCAAGAAGCAAGGAUUCCUCCAAGCGACCUGCACCGGCAUCUCGGCGAUCUCCUACAGAGCAAUGAUGGAGCGGACCUGACUUUUCAAGUGGGCGGACGGACAUUCCCGGCUCACAGGUGUGUCCUAGCUGCUCGGUCAUCCGUGUUCAAGGCGGGGCUCCUCGGUGCCCUGGUGGAGAGUUCAUGCAGUACUAUUGAAAUUCGUGACAUGGAACCUGAUGUGUUCGAGUACUUGCUCCAUUUCAUAUACACCGACUCCGUUCCUCUACAUGAUGUGGUGAUGGCCGGGCAUCUACUCGAAGCGGCUGACAGGUACGACAUCCCUAGGCUUAAGGUGAUAUGCGAGGAGAAAUUGUGCAGUCACAUUGAUUCCAACAUGGUGGCGACCAGCUUGGCUUUGGCUAGGCAGCAUGGUUUCCGUCGUCUCAAUAAAGCUUGUUUGCAGUUCCUUGCUUCUCCGUCCAACUUUGAUGCGAUGGUGGCAAGUGAUGGCUUUGAGCAUCUGCUAGCCAGCUAC
rnacentral:rRNA from 1 species